rnacentral:rRNA from 1 species
UGGGGAUGUUUGAGGCAGAUUUGUAACCGCCGUUUUGAGGCCAGCUUGCUGGUACCCAAACAGCGUUAGCAUCUUUUGUCUUGGACAUUUGAGUAUGGUUUACGGGCAUUUAUUGGUUCGAUCUGAUUGUAAGUUACGGUCGCAUGCGACACGUGCUUUUCAUUUAGAUCGGUCCAGUUAAUGCUCUCGUACUCGCUCCCCAUGUAAAAGCCGGUCAUCUAUCCGACCCGUCUUGAAACACGGACCAAGGAGUUUAUCGUGUGCGCAAGUUUUUGGGUGUUAAAAACCUAAAAGCGAAAUGAAAGUAAAUGGCUCUUUAGAGUCUGACGUGCGAUCUUGUAAAAAAGGGCAGCAUGGCCCCAUUCUAACUGUUUACAGUAGGGUGGAGGAAGAGCGUACGCGGUGAGACCCGAAAGAUGGUGAACUAUUCCUGAGCAGGACGAAGCCAGAGGAAACUCUGGUGGAAGUCCGAAGCGGUUAGACCUGGUCUG